rnacentral:lncRNA from 1 species
ACCUCAAGUUUUCCCUCAGGAAAAAGCUUUGUGUUUGCUUUUGCUUUCUUUUGUUUUAAAGUAUGAUGCAGAUCUAAGUGGAUUUCAGUCCACCCCCACCCCGUUCUCAGCAAGGGCUCCCCGUCUAUGAGGGAGACAUAAGCACAGCUCAGCGUCCUCCUCCUCUGCCUCGGGUAGAAGCUGGAGGCUGCACUCGUCCAUUGUGGAUGCAGCCGCUCUCUCCCUUUGUUCACAGGGCAGCAGCUCAUCCCAGCUCCAGUCCUGGACUGUCCAGCCCUCCUUUGAAGUGAUCUCAGCGCAGCCACAGCUCUUUGUCCUUCAUCCACCUGUGCCAUCUCCUGUCAGCCCAUGCCACACUGGUGAGAAAAAGUCAGAGUCCAGAAACUACUUGCCCAUUCUAAAUUCUUAUACCAAAAUAGCCCCGCACCCAGGCAAAAGGGGCCUCAGCUCCGAAGAAAGAGGAACAAGUGGGGCACCGAAGAAAAUCUGCGUGGAGAGACUGGGGCCAAGCCUGUCUUCCAGUGAGCCAGCCAAGCCUGGCCGUGUGCUAUCCAGUCCUUUCACUCCAGCCCUACCCAGCUCCAAGCUCACCGAGGACUCGGCUCUGCAAGGAGUGCCCUCCCUUGGGGCUG